CCCAAGGUUCUGUUUGCAGAAACAUGCUGGUGUGACUUCGUAUCUAGUUAUGCAGAAUUCAGCUACAGAACGGAAACAAUCUUUUACCAUUUUAUUAGUUUAUUUAACUUUUACCUACUCUGCAUUGUAAAUGUGGUUUUUAUUCUCAGUUACAAGUGGCACUACCCAGCAUUACAGGAUUCCAAUGGUUCCUGAAAGCUCUCAGAGCUUUGUCUUUGACUGCUGUACCAUCUAAACCAGUGCUGUGUCACACCACCUGGGGUUUUCCACACAUUUUUCCUCAGGAGCACCUGAGGAACAGGACUGCAAAAAGCGAUGCGCAAAGUAUUUAUAUGCACCCAGUUUCCCUCUGUUUUCCGUAGUUAUUUUGAUAAAACAGUCCUCACUCCGGCAGGUGGAUUUACAUCACUCCGUUCGCUAUUUUCAAUGGGGACUAAUGCGAUUUAUAGUACAGUUGAUCCGUAAUGUGUUAGUGAGCCACUGCCCAUCUGCACACAUCAUACGCUACAGCCACGCUCCAUCAGCGCCUAGCGCCGUGCCCCCAGCCCCUCCGACUCGCCUUCCGACCAGCCGUGGGCCUGGCAACGCGACGACCCGCUACGGCAGCUCCCGGCGCACCCGCGGCCACCGCCCGCCAGCCCCCUCUGCCCCUACACACGGGGCCGCCGCCCCUCACGCCAACGGCCGCCGCGGCCGCCACGCUUCCCGCCCCCUGGCGUCACUGCCGGAGCGGCCCAAGAUGGAGGCCGGCGCCAGCGGGGACCCUGUCCCGAGGCUCCGGCGCGGUGUGCGGCGAGGGGCAGAGCCCCGCGACCCGCUGCUGCCGCAGCCGCCUCUCGGGGGUGGUGGAGCGGCUGAAGAGUCUACAGCUGUAGAGAAGAAGAGGAAGCCUCUUACCAGACUCUAUAUUCAUUCUGCAUUCUGGAUUUUGGCAUCAAUUGCUGUGACAUACUACUUUGAUUUUUUUAAAACUAUUACAGAAACUUUUCAAGCAAAUAGUUGGUGGCUCGCCUCUGGCGGUUGUUUAUUGGCUGCAUGUUUGUCUGUUGCCUUUUACUGCAUACUGUAUCUUGAGUGGUAUUGUGGAAUUGAGGAUUAUGAUGCACAGUACCCAGCACUGAUAAAUAUCACAAUAGCUACCUUUAUUGCAGCAGCAGUUUGUUUCAACAUUGCCUUGUGGCCCGUCUGGUCGUUUAUGACACCUUUGUUGCUCUUCAUUCAGUUCAUGGGUUUUGUGAUGCUUGUGUCACUCCUGGGAUAAGUCCUUCAGGUAUGCUGUUUUCAUUUUCUGUGAUGAACAGUCCAGAUGAACCUGCUAUAUGGAAAACUACCAGAUAACAGUUGCUCUUUGUUCUUCCGAAAAAAACCCAACCUUUCAAAGGCAAAACUGGAUAUUUUUUUGACUUGAAAAAAAUCAUUCUCAAUAACUGUCGUGUUGAAAAUGGGUUCUCAUAUCUUCUGUUAGGAUGUACUAUUCAAAUGUGAAUAUUUCACAAAUCCUGUGAAACUGAAAAAGCUUAAGGAAGACAACAAAGACAGCUCAGUAAAUAGGCUUCAUGUGAAGGACUCAAGUAACUGUUAUCCUGCAAAGUGGACAUCACUUUGGUUACAUUCCAGUACUUUUAUUAUUUCUAAUACUGCUCCGAUACUGUUUGCUCUGAUACAUAAUUCUUAGACUACCCGAUUUAUAAAUCAGAUGGACAUAACCAUAGGUCAGCCAGUGGCAGGGAAAAAGCAACCGAUGGGUAAAAAAUUGAAUGAUAGGUUUUUCGUUUCUAGUAACGUAACGCAUUUCAUUGCUGCUUUGUAAAGCUUAUAUUUUAGUGUUAAGCAGAUGGGUAAUAAGUCAUAGAAUCAUAGAAUAGUUCAGGUUGGAAGGGACCUUUAAAGGUCAUCUCUGGGGUCUCUGAGGUCACCUAGUUCAACUUCCUGCUCAAAGCAUGUUGUUUGGUUUGAAAGUAAUUGAUACUUAAUUCAAGUGUUGUGGGGUUUUAACACUAUUCUUUCAAAUUGAAUUGACAGCUAAAAAAAAUAUUGUUAGCUGGAGUCUGUGUUUGUACUUGUGAACUUGCUCAUAGAUGACACAGGACACACUUCUUGAGCUAUUAAAUUUCUAAUGUUACAUGUGUUAUUACAUAGGAAAUACUUUUAUUACCUAAUGUCUUGACUUUGUAUCUGCUAGUGUUUGAAAAAAGGUAUGGAUGGGGUAAGGGCCUAGAAAGCUGGCUGACAUAUGGCAGUGCUAUCAAAUAGGUUUUGCUUGUGCUAAAACAGUUUGUCCACAGCAAAAGAUGGAUGAUCAAGCUGUGAUUAACCAGCAAUAUAAUGAACAAUGUUAACACUACACAAGAAAUUAAGAGCACAAAGUAAAUUCUUUUGAUGUAUGCACUAUUUUUCAGUAUCCAGGAUGUUUUUCUUCUGUAAAUUAACUUUUCAUUCUCAGCAGUGCCUGUUAGUGAAGUUGCCAUUUUUCUUCCUCAGCAAUAAAGAAGCAGAUAUAGUCAUACACAGUUGGGAAAAUAAAGUAACGUUGUCUGUCUGUUCACCUUGGCUGAGACACUUAAGUAUCUGGAAAUGGACACCAGUCAGUUGCUGGACCAUUUUAUAUAGAUCCUUGUGUUAAAUACUUCCACACCUUUUGGAAGAGAGGAGAAUGUAGAAGCUGGGUAUUGAAACUUGCUAAAAUUUCCUUCUUGUGACUGUUCCUUGAAGUCUGGAGUGUUAGAGGAGACUGUUCUUCAUUCUGACUUUCAAAUUCACACCAUUGCGAAUACAAAAUACAUGAAAUGUUUAGUAAUGAAAAAGACGCAUGUUGUCUUUAGCUGCCACCAUUUCAUUAAGGAAGAAAGUUGCUGUCAGCAUGCAAGACAAAGGAUCAGUCAAACAAAAAUACAUUUAGCACUACUGUUAAGUAGCUUGUAAGAGUAAGUUAACAGCUUGAUUUGUUUAAAUGUAAUACUUAGUUUUCCAAAAAGAGUUGUACUUCACAUCUUAAAGGGCAAGUUGCUUAUCUUCAGGUCUUCAUCUUUUACACAUUUUUUUAACAAUUUUACACCUGCAUACACAGGUACAUUUGAGUAACUUUUGUUUAUUAUGAUAUUUAAAAUGCAGUGUUGCUCAGGGAUCGCAAUUAUCACUGUAUUUGUUAACUAUAUAAAUGCUUGAGGUGUUUUAAGUUGCCUUGUAGUCUGGAAUUAAAAUUACUGUUUGCUACAUGGUUUUUCAGAUUUAUUCUUCUGGACAUCUUAAUAAACUUUGUAUAAAAGUGAUAAA